rnacentral:rRNA from 1 species
CCUACGGGAGGCUGCAGUGAGGAAUAUUGGUCAAUGGGAGAGAUCCUGACCCAGCAACGCCGCGUGAAGGAAGAAGGCUCUCGGGUUGUAAACUUCCUUUGACAGGGAAGAGCAGAAGACGGUACCUGUCGAAUAAGCCACGGCUAACUAGGUGCCAGCAGCCGCGGGAAUACGUCGGUGGCAAGUGUUGUCCGGAUUUACUGGGUGUAAAGGGCGUGUAGCCGGGCUGACAAGUCAGAUGUGAAAUCCGGGGGCUCAACCCCCGAACUGCAUUUGAAACUGUUGGUCUUGAGUAUCGGAGAGGCAGGCGGAAUUCCUAGUGUAGCGGUGACAUGCGUAGAUAUUAGGAGGAACACCAGUUGCGAAGGCGGCAUGCUGGACGACAACUGACGGUGAGGCGCGAAAGCGUGGGGAGCGAACAGGAUUAGAUACCCUAGUAGUC